rnacentral:rRNA from 1 species
UCGGGAAUUUUGGGCAAUGGGCGAAAGCCUGACCCAGCAACGCCGCGUGAAGGAUGAAGUAUUUCGGUAUGUAAACUUCGUAAGAAUAGGAAGAAUUAAUGACGGUACUAUUUGUAAGGUCCGGCUAACUACGUGCCAGCAGCCGCGGUAAUACGUAGGGACCAAGCGUUGUUCGGAUUUACUGGGCGUAAAGGGCGCGUAGGCGGCGUGACAAGUCACUUGUGAAAUCUCCGGGCUUAACUCGGAACGGCCAAGUGAUACUGUCGUGCUAGAGUGCAGAAGGGGCAAUCGGAAUUCUUGGUGUAGCGGUGAAAUGCGUAGAUAUCAAGAGGAACACCUGAGGUGAAGACGGGUUGCUGGGCUGACACUGACGCUGAGGCGCGAAAGCCAGGGGAGCAAACGGG